UUUACCUGCAGGCCCAGAUACUUGUUUGAAAAUCCUUGCAUCCUGUGAUCGAUACUCCCAAAGUAAAGCCUGCACUUUUCUUUAUGCUAAGAAAUGAGAUUGGUAGAGAGGAAUGCCAGACAAGAUUUGCUAAGUUGUUAGUUAGGUGAAUUUGGUUGCUAAGCUAGGAUAUGGUAUAAUGUGCUUGUGUGAUUAGGACUUCUUAGAUGUGGAUUGCAAUAUUGUAGAGGUGAUGAUUCUAAGUUUAAAAUUGUGUGAGUCCCUGCUGUUUCCAAACUUCUUUCAGAGAGACUGCCUGUUUGUUUUGCUUGAGGACAAGCAAAAGGGUAAGUCUGGGGAGUUGAUAGACAAUGGAUUUGACCCACUUUCACCCAUGGUUUAUAGGUGUUUUUACUACUAAUUAUUAUAUUAUAGAGUCUAUAUAUAUAUAUAAAGUAUUGUUUGCCUCUCUCCUGUGCCUCCACGUCGGAUCCAGCCUGGAAACUCGCCUCCUGUACGCGCGCCACGUGUCCACCCUCUUAACCUGUUUUGUCAUGUUUUGUUUUCAUUGAAUGGGGCUUCUCAUUCACAUUAUAUGUGUUUGGUAUUUCGUUAUCAUGUUUCAUGGAAAACAAGAGCCCAGCCCAAGUUAAAGACAAACAACAUAUUUUCCCGACAAUUAGGGCUCAUCGUCUUCCUCCAUCUGACUUUCUCAUAUAGGGUUCUUCCUUAUACGAAUCCAUCAACAUCGAGACCUUUCGCCAUUAAUGGAGUUUCAGGAGAUUGUGUGAGAAGAAACUUCGUGAGGAAUUUUUGGGUCAGAGAUUUAAGAGAUUUAUUGGUGUCGGUUCGUCUAACAUUCUUCUCCUACAAAAUGUUACGGAUUCAUUGAUUCAUGGUCAUUAAGAACCAUCUUUACUCAUCCUCUAGGCUGUGUAUAUCCACCUAUAAAAAGACCAGUUUCAUCUCUUGAACAUUAUCCUCUUAUAAUUUUCUAUAAAAAUUAAAAACUUACUUUUCAGUAGAAUGCCAAAGUCAUAUUUCUUUUUAGCUGAUUUGAAGGCUUGCUGCUGUUUUUCCACUGAAGUUUGCGAAAGAGGAAUGUGAAAUGGAUCCAAAGAGAGAAGUGAUCCUGGCCAUGUAGAUGUACAUGCAGCUGCGUAUUCACAGAAUGAUAGACCCACUAAAGAGAUGAUUUAUUGUCAGAGAUGGUGGAUGCACUUAAAAGACUUGAAAGCUCUGGCUUGUGGUAGUGACCAUGAGAUAUGUUGGAUUUAGUGAAAACGAAUAAAGAAAAAAGUUAACAAGAAGAAGAAGGAGAAGAAACAAGAGAGUUUGAUGAACUAAUCAGGAGAACCCCACAUCUAAGAGAAGAAAGACAGCUCCGAAUCAUCAGUAAACCAUAAGCAUAUGAGAUCAAACGAUGAGAACAAGAACCUAUCACUAGCUCCUCCUUCCGGGUUAGGAAACCCAGCGAAGUUGACUAAGGAGAUAGAGCAAGAAGCUGCAAAUUGGUUCAUGAGGUUUAUGGAAAAGGCCCUCGAGAAGAGAACAAAGAAGUGUAAAGGCACGGGUGAUGAAGAUGUUAACAAAGAUCCACAGUCCCUGAUUUUCCAAGUUGUAAAUUGGGUGGAAGCAGAACAGUCUGCUGAUAGCACGAGAUGACAGGUACAUCCAAAAGCAUCGCAAGUCUUUAGAAAGCUCAGAAUCAAAAUGAAGAAUUUAAACAUGAUUCUUUAAUAUUGUUCCCAUUUAUACUCCAAAGGUUUCUUCGUUUCCACUUAGUAUCGAUAAAUUAAUUCAUGGAAUCUAUUGUUGUUAAUCAAGUUUACAAUAAAGUGGUCAUUCUCAAAUGUCCUAGAUAAAAGAUGGUCACAUCAGUAAGAAGAAGAAGAAAAAGACAAAUAACAAAUGUUUUACAAAUUACAUAUGUAGGUUCGUGUAAACGUAAUGAAGGUCAAUUUAUCAUCA